rnacentral:rRNA from 1 species
AUUGAACGCUGGCGGCAGGCCUAACACAUGCAAGUCGAGCGGAUGAAGGUAGCUUGCUCCUGGAUUCAGCGGCGGACGGGUGAGUAAUGCCUAGGAAUCUGCCUGGUAGUGGGGGAUAACGUCCGGAAACGGGCGCUAAUACCGCAUACGUCCUGAGGGAGAAAGUGGGGGAUCUUCGGACCUCACGCUAUCAGAUGAGCCUAGGUCGGAUUAGCUAGUUGGUGGGGUAAAGGCCUACCAAGGCGACGAUCCGUAACUGGUCUGAGAGGAUGAUCAGUCACACUGGAACUGAGACACGGUCCAGACUCCUACGGGAGGCAGCAGUGGGGAAUAUUGGACAAAGGGCGAAAGCCUGAUCCAGCCAUGCCGCGUGUGUGAAGAAGGUCUUCGGAUUGUAAAGCACUUUAAGUUGGGAGGAAGGGCAGUAAGUUAAUACCUUGCUGUUUUGACGUUACCAACAGAAUAAGCACCGGCUAACUUCGUG